rnacentral:lncRNA from 1 species
AAAGUUUUUAUUAUUAAUAAAUGAGUUUGUUAUAAAUUAUGCUCCAUUGGUUGUUUUUGUUUUCUACCAACCUUUACUUUUGUGGCAGUGAGAUAGUGUGAUGUCUUUACUGGGCUAGUGUAGCUCAUUCCUUACUUAAUCAUUUCAGAUCAGGGAGACGUGGUUCCCGAGCCCGUUCCACAGGAAGACGGCGAGUUAGAAGUCUAGAGACUUUAUAGUUCUAUUUAUAGUUUUUAUUUCGAGUAUUUCUUUUAAUCAGCUUAUUCUUUCAUAUGCUGGAUACGUUUUUGGUUAUUGUGUAAGGGAUGUUAAUCAAAAUUUUUAUUACACUUCCGCAUUUAAGAUUUUUUUUAUACAUACAUCUUCAUUUAAAUUUUUAGG